UUGCGAAUGGAAGAUCGAGUUUGGAUCCAACUCCAAUCCGGCUCAGAAUUCCGGUGCGGUGGAUUUUCAGAGAAUCGCAGAGUCAUCACUGCGGUGGUUACGUGGCGAAGUGGUCACGCGAGAGGGAAGUGAAGUGAGCUUCUCAGAGAUGAACUGUGAAGAAUGAGCUCUAAUCUUUGAGCAAAAAGCAACCGAUUCUGAAUAUGAGGGUAGAGAGCUUGAGAGUGAAGAGUGAAGAUUGAAGGUGAGGAAUGAAAAAACUAGAAAAGCUUCUGAUUGCACUGUUAUAUACAUGGUAUUCUCAACCAAAUCGGGCAACGGAUCGGGCAGGGAUAAGUCAAAAUUGGACCUUAGCUUGCAGUUCAGCUGGAUUUGCACGUUACUUCUAUGAAGGUUUGUUGUGGUUGGAAGUUCUGCUGUUAAAAUGUUAGUUUGUUUUGUUAGUUACAAGUCUGUCAAAUCAAUUUAAAAUUAGUUAGGUUAAGUUAGAGAACUAGUUAGUCAUGGUUAUUAUGAAAUUAGAAAAAAAAACUUAACUGUUAGUCAAAGUCCUGCUGU